UUAAGUUCAGCGGGUAUCCCUACCUGAUCCGAGGUCAACCGUGGUGGGCGCGGACGCCCGGGUUGGGGGGUGGUCGACGGCGGCCGGCCGGGCCUCCAGAGCGGGUGACAAAGCCCCAUACGCUCGAGAACCGGACACGGCGCCGCCACUGCCUUUCGGGCCCGUCCCCGGAGAGGGGACGAGGUCCAACACACAAGCCG
rnacentral:misc_RNA from 1 species